CAANGUAUGCUUUGGAAACUGUUAGACUUGAGUGCAGAAGGGGAGAGUGGAAUUCCAUGUGUAGCGGUGAAAUGCGUAGAUAUAUGGAGGAACACCGGUGGCGAAAGCGGCUNUCUGGUCUGUCACUGACGCUGAGGCUCGAAAGCGUGGGUAGCGAACAGGAUUAGAUACCCUGGUAGUCCACGCCGUAAACGCUGAGUGCUAGGUGUUAGGUCCUUUCCGGGACUUAGUGCCGACGCUAACGCAUUAAGCACUCCGCCUGGGGAGUACGACCGCAAGGUUGAAACUCAAAGGAAUUGACGGGGGCCCGCACAAGCGGUGGAGCAUGUGGUUUAAUUCGAAGCAACGCGAAGAACCUUACCAGGUCUUGACAUCCCGAUGCCCGCUCUAGAGAUAGAGUUUUUCUUCGGAACAUCGGAGACAGGUGGUGCAUGGUUGUCGUCAGCUCGUGUCGUGAGAUGUUGGGUUAAGUCCCGCAACGAGCGCAACCCUUAUUGUUAGUUGCCAUCAUUAAGUUGGGCACUCUAGCGAGACUGCCGGUAAUAAACCGGAGGAAGGUGGGGAUGACGUCAAAUCAUCAUGCCCCUUAUGACCUGGGCUACACACGUGCUACAAUGGUUGGUACAACGAGUCGCAAGCCGGUGACGGCAAGCUAAUCUCUGAAAGCCAAUCUCAGUUCGGAUUGUAGGCUGCAACUCGCCUACAUGAAGUCGGAAUCGCUAGUAAUCGCGGAUCAGCACGCCGCGGUGAAUACGUUCCCGGGCCUUGUACACACCGCCCGUCACACCACGAGAGUUUGUAACACCCAAAGUCGGUGAGGUAACCAUUUAUGGGNCCA
rnacentral:rRNA from 1 species